rnacentral:sRNA from 1 species
ACCAGGCAUGGUGGUGCAUGCCUGUAAUCCCAGUGACUUGGGGGGCUGAGGCAGGAGGAUCGCAAGUUCAAAGUCAGUCUCAGCAACUUAAUGAGACCCUAUCUCAA